rnacentral:lncRNA from 1 species
AUGUAAGAAACCAGGUAGUAAAGAGAGGGUCUUCAGCCAACGGGCUUUGUAUUUAGCCUCUGUACUGCAUAAAAGGCAGGGAGAAUGGAACACCUUUUCACCCUGGGGAGAAGGUGGAGGCUGAGGUUAGCCUGAGGUGGAACACGGGAGUCUGGGAAGUAUGCCUCUUAGACACUUGUCCCCAUUCUCCUUGUGGUUUUCAUCUUACAUGGUCACCGCUUGCACAUCUCUGUCCUUGCUGUCCCUAAGCAAUCCUACUGUAAGAAAAACAGAGAUGCCUUCUGGUCAUCUCAGGCAGGGCAGCUUGGAACAGGAAGGCAGGCACCCUACCCAGAGGUCAGACCAACACCCCAGCAAUGGUGUGAAUGACUCCUCUGUCUAGGAAAAACAUGGGGGGAAAGCGGGUGAGCUAGGGCAGAAGGUUUGGAAUAGUGAAGAACAAGGCAUCCCCAUCUCCAGCAGAAAGGGCACAGUUGGUGCCACGCCUCUGUCAAGGCACACCUGUGAAGUGGCUACUCCAUUUCUUGAGGAACCCGGCACGAUCCAUGUGGAAAAGUGAGGGGUCUGGAGAGGCUGAGUGGAGGAACUCAAGGACAAGAAAGCACUUCUCCAGGGAAGAGGAGGCAGGGGCUGCAGGCUGGCAGAUGUAAAAUUCCCCAAUGUCUGUAGAAUUUUGGUAAUGUCCCCCAUCGAAGUGGGGGAUAGGGGAUGUAUGAUAUUCAGAUGUUGGGACAAGCCAGGAAUCUUUAACAAUUGUUUCUCCCACCCUGACCCCCUUCCCCCCCACCCCACACACACACCUCCAAGGGCAGGAGCUGAAGUACUUCCAACAAGACCCACCCCAGGUAACCAGCCGAAGUGAGUCAGUUAGGAGGGGCGUCUACGGCCCUGGGCAAACAAUGAAGAACCCUCUACCCCUCCCCUGUGCCCUCCACACCCGAGCCUCGGUAAUUAAAAUAUGAAUUCACCUUC